ensembl:rRNA 5S_rRNA 5S ribosomal RNA
GUCUGUGGCCAUACCACCCUGAAUAUGCCCAAUCGUGUCCGAUAUGGGAAGCUAAGCAGGAUCAGGCCUGGUUAGUACUUGGGUGGGAAGGGAAAAGGAGCUAUUUAUG